rnacentral:other from 1 species
AUUUUCCUGGAGUGUUUGCCAGCCGAGAAGUCCCUGAGCCGAUAANAAUCCUAUGGCUUCUUUUUUGACAAAGCUGUUGAGCAGUUCCGUGCGAUGGAAAGCCUGAUGCGAUGCAAAAGUCGCCACCUUGAACUUUUCGGUUCAAGGCCACGUCGGCAGCGGCACUCUGGGACUCNG